GCCUUGAUGGCCGAGUGGUUUAAGGCGGUGGUCUUAAGUUUCUGGUACCCCCAGAAUUGAGAACCACUAUCUCAGGAUGCGUGAGUUCGAACCUCACUCAAGGCA